UACGUAGGCAGCAAGCGUUGUUCGGAGUUACUGGGCGUAAAGCGUGCGCAGGCGGUUGUGUAAGACAGAAUGUGAAAUCCCCGGGCUCAACCUGGGAACUGCAUUUGUGACUGCACAGCUGGAGUGCGGCAGAGGGGGAUGGAAUUCCGCGUGUAGCAGUGAAAUGCGUAGAUAUGCGGAGGAACACCGAUGGCGAAGGCAAUCCCCUGGGCCUGCACUGACGCUCAUGCACGAAAGCGUGGGAGCAAACAGG
rnacentral:rRNA from 1 species